rnacentral:rRNA from 1 species
AGCGAACGCUGGCGGCAGGCUUAACACAUGCAAGUCGAGCGGGCAUCCUUGUGGUGUCAGCGGCAGACGGGUGAGUAACGCGUGGGAACGUGCCCUUCGGUUCGGAAUAACUCAGGGAAACUUGAGCUAAUACCGGAUACGUGCGAGAGCAGAAAGGUUUAUCUGCCGAAGGAUCGGCCCGCGUCUGAUUAGCUAGUUGGUGAGGUUACGACUCACCAAGGCGACGAUCAGUAGCUGGUCUGAGAGGAUGAUCAGCCACACUGGGACUGAGACACGGCCCAGACUCCUACGGGAGGCAGCAGUGGGGAAUAUUGGACAAUGGGGGCAACCCUGAUCCAGCCAUGCCGCGUGAGUGAUGACGGCCUUAGGGUUGUAAAGCUCUUUUCUCCGGGACGAUAAUGACGGUACCGGAGGAAUAAGCCCCGGCUAACUUCGUG